rnacentral:miRNA from 1 species
UUCAUCAGAGAGAGUCGGGCCU